UCCGAUUUACACCGGCGGUCUCCUAUGAGUUCCCAUCUUUCAUGCUGGCAACAUAGGACGAGGGUUGCGCUCGUUGGCGGACUUAACCGUACACCUCACGGCACGAGCUGACGACAGCCAUGCAACAAGUGUCUUCAUGUCCCCUUGUGGGGGAGGGCCCUAUUUCUAGAGCUUUCAAUCGAUGUCAAGUCUGGGUAAGGUUCUUCGGUUAGUAUCGAAUUAAUCCACAUGCUCCACCGCUUGUGCGGGUCCCCGUCAAUUCAUUUGAGUUUCAACCUUGCGGCCGUACUCCCCAGGCGGGAUACUUAGUGCGUUAGCUGCGGCACAAGAGGGGUCGAUACCUCUUACGCCUAGUAUCCAUCGUUUAGGGCGUGGACUAC
rnacentral:misc_RNA from 1 species